UACGAAGGGGGCUAGCGUUGCUCGGAAUCACUGGGCGUAAAGCGCACGUAGGCGGAUUGCUAAGUCAGGGGUGAAAUCCUGGAGCUCAACUCCAGAACUGCCGUUGAUACUGGCGAUCUUGAGUCCGGGAGAGGUGAGUGGAACUGCGAGUGUAGAGGUGAAAUUCGUAGAUAUUAGGAAGAACACCAGUGGCGAAGGCGGCUCACUGGUCCGGUACUGACGCUGAGGUGCGAAAGCGUGGGGAGCAAACAGG
rnacentral:rRNA from 1 species